rnacentral:lncRNA from 1 species
UAAGAUGUACUAGGCUAAAAUUUAAAUGAGCAAAAUAGAAUUAAAGGAGAUUGUGAGAGUUGAAUUAACUAAUAAUUCAUUUUCUUUGCAGUCAUUUUCUCGUCUCUUUAUUUAUUUUUUCUCUUUUUUUCUAGAAGGAAUACGAUAAGAAUAUAAAUUAUCUUCCUUCCUUCUUUUCUUUUUCUAUUUUUUGUUCUUUUUCUAUUUUUUUCCUUUUUCUAUUUUCUGCCAACUUUUGAAUGAAAUAACAACUAUAAUUAUUCAACCCCACACAACUCCAAACAGGACUCUUUCAACCCUUUGAACAGGGUGAUAACAUAGUUUUUCACUUUUAGACUUGUAAUGAGUUAUAA